UGAGCAAUCUGUCCUUCUCACCGGAAUAAGCGUUGGAAACGACGUCUAAUGCCGAAUACGACCUCCUUUCGCAUGANCGGGGGGUGGAAAGCUCCGGCGGAGAAGGAUGAGCUCGCGGCCUAUCAGCUAGUUGGUGUGGGUAAUGGCCCACCAAGGCGACGACGGGUAGCCGGCCUGAGAGGGUGACCGGCCACACUGGGACUGAGACACGGCCCAGACUCCUACGGGAGGCAGCAGG
rnacentral:rRNA from 1 species